rnacentral:rRNA from 1 species
UUUGUGACAGGGAUUAGAUACCCCAUUAACGUAUUUUGUAAUAUUAUCUUAGUUUAGUAACUAAAAUGGUUUGGCAGUGAGUGAUUCUUUUUAGGGGAAGGUGUGGUGUAAAGGAUGUUCCGCCUAUUAAUUUACUUUUAUUAUGUUGGUGUAUAUCUGGUUUAAUAUUAUCGUUGAGUGAUGUAUAAGUUUGUGUAGGUUUUAGUUAAGCUAAGUCUAUGUGCUGCUUAUAAAAGUAUACAUGCGUUACAUUGAUAAAGUUUUAGUUGUAAGUGCUAUUAUAUUCAGGACUUAAAAGUAAUGUUAAAUUAGUUUGUUAAUGUGAAGUAAGUUUAGCUCAUGUACACACCGCCCGUCACCCUCGAUU